GCCCGACCCUGGCUCCAGAAAAAAAAAAAAAAAAACACGGUUUGGUUCGGAACUCCUGUCUUUUUCCGCCCACCGCGGGGGGCCGCAUCGGCAGGGCUCGGCACAGAGCCCGGGCGCUUAGGUUAGGGGCGCAGCGGGGCCCGGCGGGGGCGGCGAGCGCGCGUCCCCCCGCCCGCCCGGGCGGCGUCGAGGCGCGAGUAGCUCAGCCAGCCUUGCAGAGGGAGCUCUCGGCAGCUCUUGGGGUCCCUCUGCUCGCAGCAGCGCCGCCUGCGCCACUCGGUGGAGACGGAGACCAGCGGCGGCGACGCGCGGACUGGCAGCGCCCGCCGAGCAGCCGAGCAGGGCAGCCGGCUGUGAGUACGUGAGGAAGAAGAGUGGGAGACAGGAGGAAAGGUAAGGUUGGAAGAGGACAAGAGGAAAAGAGGGCAGUGGCGGCGGCAGCAGCGGGGAGAGGGGGUGUUGGGGUGGGGGAAAGCCUCCGGUGACCACCCACACAAUAAAUCAGAUCCUGGACCACCUCCGCCUGGCCCCUUUUUUCUGCAGUGCACCCUUCCCCGUUUCCUCCCAGGAAGAGUCCGAAGAUGACAGCCAGGGCACGGCUGUGGCCUUGAUGGGCUUGAUUGAUGAGGCACUUCUUAGGCUGUCAGAGGCCCGGGAGGCCCACUUCCUUCUGUUCACCCCACAGAGGCGUGCACAGGCCACACAGGACAGGCGGGCACAGGCUUUCCCUGCCCAGCUGCCUUUGGCUCCGGAUGGUACCAUCAAGCUCCCAUCCGCUGGCAGCAGGCUCCUGACGUUAAGGACUGGGGGGCAGUAGGGAUGGAUGCCUCCCUGAACCUGUAUGACUGCAGGACGAGGGGGUGAGGCGUGCUGGGAGCAGCAGAUCUGCCCUGUGGGAAGACCUGUGAGAGGCUCCUGUGAAGCUGUGUGUGUUGAGGGAGGGAUGCUGUCAGGAGGGGGGACAAGGACUCGCCCUGCCCUCUACUGUCUUGCAGACCUGGGCCUGGGCCUGGGUGUAGGAGGCCAUCCGGUCUGACUUCCAAGUUGCUGAUGGAGAGGGAUUGAGCAGUGGAUCUACACUGCUCUACGCUAGGUAGGCUUGAUGGGGCAAAGGACAGUUUUUGUGUCGGCUUUGACAAUUCUUUACCUGUACCUGGCUAUGCCCACAGAACCUGCCCUGCCCCUUGGCUAGGGUUGAAUACUAGGCAGUGGCCUGAGGACUCUCCAUGUAGGGGAUAGAAACUUAGGAGCCCUAUCCAUUUCUAGCAUUGGCAAGCAGUGAUAGAGGGCCACUGAGCCAGUUCCAGAUGACCCUCAAUGGGGAUGAUCUUUCCACCUCACAGUUCUUGACGAGGCUGCCCUCCUGUGGAUUGAGCUGUGUGCACCCCUGCCAGCCCAGUCACCCGUCUGCCCUUUCCCAGAACCUGGUCAGCCAGGGUUUACUUCCUCUUUCCCCACCACACGGGCUAUGCUUUGAAUGUCAGUGGACAGUCCUGCUCUACCAGUGGGGCCCCGGGGUUGGUUUUUGGACCGCAACCCUCCUGCAGGGGGCCUUGAAGCAGGCCCAAGCUGUGGUCUGCUUUGGGUGCUGGCUUGGUAUCUGUUACUUGUUUGCCUUCCCCGCCCUCUGCCACCCCAGCCCACCACCCCAAAGAGCUGGACUGCGCACCAUCCCGCCCAUGACGCCCUUCAGUUACAGAGGGAGCACGGAGCGGUGCGAGGACUGUGCUUGCCCACAGCCCCCCCCACCCCCCGACGAGAGUGCGCCACCUGCAUCCACAGGCAGGUGUUUCCUGUGCGCCUUCCUGUUGCCGUUUCUUCUUCUUCUUCUUCUGCUCAGCAUGGCUUCCCCAGCAGGUGGUGAAGGGCCAGCCAAACCUCUUAUACACAGCUCCAAAACACGGGGGAGGGGAGGGGCGGAGCCUGGGGAUCUGGGUCACCCCCCCACCAAGGAAAGACUGUUGGCACCUCAUUAGCUGUGCCUGAGUGCAGGUGCACACACUCCCGUGUGUCACUGGACUCCAGCAUCGGGAAGGCCCGGCCUGGGCACCGACUCCCUUGCCCCUGGAUAAUGAAAGCUCUGGAGUGAGGAGGGAAGGGUGGAGGGCCAGUUUCUCCAGCCUUGGGUGUGGGCCUCCCUCAGGCCCUCCUUAGAACAGGCCUGCCAUCCUGCAAUCCCACCCCACCCUCAAGUUCCUCCCACAGAGCUCUUUGCCUUCUGGGGUUAACACGCUUAACAGGAGGCCCGCCACCUCUGGGGAGGAGAUGAACCCUCCCUGGAACCCUGCUUCCCAAAACGGGCCAGCUGGCUGUGGAGGGCCCUGGGGUUCAGUCAGGUUUGUUAUUACGGAGGGGAGGUGGUUUGGGUAGAGGAGGGACUUAUUUAGGGUCACUGGGCAGCCUUCCUGGUCUCCUGCCACGCAGGCCCUCGCUCUUCCCCUCUGCAAGGAUCUCCUCUGGCUUACUCCCCAGCCCUCUAGGAGCUCCUAGUGCUCGAUCCCCUUUGUAGGAAGCUGCCAGGGCCGAAGGGAAAUCCAGAAGCCUGGCAUUCUCAGACAGGGCUCUGCUGCCCCCUGGUGGCUAGGAACUCCAGCCACCACCGCGCCUUUCUCUCUGCUGCUUCCUCUUUGCCUCCUGGCAGCAGCAGGGUGCUAGCAGCUGGGGAGCCAUUCCCAGGACUGGCACUCUUUGGCCUUCUCUAGGCCAGCUCCGUGGUUUGGCUCCAGCCUGUGCUCCUCACGUCCGUCCAGGCCCAGUGCAGGCUGAUCCUCCUCAGCAGCACACCACCACCCUUUCUCUCUGCCCUCUUCUCCAAGCCCACUUCCAGUACCUGGGCACUCGUCCACCCAGAUUUCCAGGGCAAAA